UACGGGGGGAGCAAGCGUUGUUCGGAUUUACUGGGCGUAAAGGGCGCGUAGGCGGUCAGCACAAGUCAGUUGUGAAAUCUCCGAGCUUAACCCGGAAAGGUCAACUGAUACUGUGCGACUAGAGUGCGGAAGGGGCAACUGGAAUUCUUGGUGUAGCGGUGAAAUGCGUAGAUAUCAAGAGGAACACCUGCGGCGAAGGCGGGUUGCUGGGCCGACACUGACGCUGAGGCGCGAAAGCUAGGGGAGCGAACGGG
rnacentral:rRNA from 1 species